rnacentral:rRNA from 1 species
UGAGGAACAUGACCUUCGGCGGGGGAUAGCCGGCCCAACGGCCGGGUAAUACCGCGUACGACCACAUGGGGACAUCCCUGAGUGGUGAAAGCAGCAAUGCGCCGAUGGAGUGCCUCGCGGCCUAUCAGCUAGUUGGUGAGGUAACGGCUCACCAAGGCAACGACGGGUAGCUGGUCUGAGAGGAUGGCCAGCCACAGUUGGGACUGAGACACGGCCAGACCUCUACGGGAGG